rnacentral:tRNA from 1 species
GUGGGUACAGCUCAAUGGUACAGUGUGUGCUUAACAUGCACGAGGUCCUGGGUUCAAUCCCCAGUACUUCCA